AUGUAUUGUCCAUUACGUUCCGAUCUAGCGUAGCUUAAAUUCAUAUCCAUUUCUAGGUUGUUAAUAAUAUGCGUGUUUUAUUUGACCAGCAAAAUAAGCUAUUAGCUAUUAGCUUAUUUUGUAUGGAAGACUUAAGACGUGUUUUAUUUGACCAGUAAAUUAAGCUAUUAGCUUAUUUUGUAUGGAAGACUUAGUCAACAUAAUUAUGUUGGCAUGUCAUAAGCUAUCAUAACUUGUUUAUUGAACUAGAGGCAUUGCCAGUUCAUCGCUUUUUUUUUAUUCACAAUAGCUAGGUUUUUUCCAAAAACAAGUAGUUGGCAAUAUUGAGAAACUCCAUUUUGACAGAUAAAAUUGUAAACAAACCAAAAUUUUAUAUUCUAUCGAUGUGCAAAAUGGCAAAUAAAAACUUUAUCCAUAUUUAUUUUGACCAUCCCGAGUAUAAUAAUGUAGGCCAGAAUAUUAUAGAAAGACGCUGAUAGUCCGGGCAGGCAUUGCCAACACAAUUAAUUUUUAAAGCGAAUAUAUUAAAUAAGCUAAAUGCGUUUUAGUUGUGCAUGAUUUAGCUAUUAGCUUGUGAUGGUCAAAUAAAACAUGCCUAAUAUAUUAUUGGCUUAACUUAAAUUACAAAAAAUAUUAAUAUACAGUAUGUCAAGUAAUUACAGUGUACAUAAUUUGUAUGUAUAAAUAUACAAUGGGCGUGUUUUCAGAGCCGCUGUUUUUUUAUUCGCUGAACUAUGUCAAUGUCGUCGUAUAACUCGUACAGCACAUCGUUCCAUCGUCUGCGGUAUUCGCCGUUGCCAAUGUUCUGAGGACCAUAAAUCUUACGUAAAAUUUUCGUCUCGAAAACUCCCAGUGUCGUCUCAUCUGAUGUUGACAUCGUCCAAGCUUCUGCACCAUAAAUCAGGACAGAUUUUGGUUCAUCGAGAAGGGACUUUACUUUUCAAUUGCCUACUCAGUCCAAAGUAGCACCUGUUGGCAAUUCUGCGCUGAAUUUCGGGGCUGACAUUGUUGGUGUUGUUGAUGGUGGUUCCCAGGUAUACGAAAUUAUCUACUACUUCAAAGUUAUGACUGUCAACAGUGACGUGUGAGCCAAGACGCGAGUGCGCUGACUGUUUGUUUGAUGACAGGAGACAUUUCGUUAUUCACCACCAGACCCAAACGCUUCGCUUCCUUAUUCAGUCUGGAAAAAGGAGAACAAACGGCACGGUUUUUGCUUCCGAUGAUAUCAAUAUCAUCGGCGUAUGCCAGAAGCUGUACAAUCUUAUAGAAGAUUGUACCUUCUCUAUUUAGCUCUGCAGCUUGUAUUGAUGUGUAUGACUACGUUAAAUUGAGUUCAAAAAUCAUCAUUCGAAACUUCACACUUUCAUAUAUACAUACAUAUGUACGUUGGUUUUACAUGCUGCGCUCACAGAAUUGUUUGCGAACCAACUUACCCGGAUGGAAAUUCAAUUCAAGAUAAAGAUAUCAAUAUAUACGAUUUCAUUAAAUUUUUCUUAUUUUUAAUAUUUUUUAGGUAUUGUUUUCAUUUAAUAUUUCAUGGAUUAAUUGUAGAACUUUAUACUUGAAUUGGCGCAUUUGUGAGUUGGUCAUUUCGUUGAGAUCUGGCAAUAAGCUUAAUACAAAUUGUCUUUUGGGACUUUCACUAAACUCUGUUUGAACACUUUGCUCAGUAUAUCUCGCAGGUGCGGAAGCAGAUUGAAUCGGUGUGCAAUUCGUCACUUCAUCUUUAACCAUAAUAUGCUCAAGGGACUCACUGCGCCGUGGAAUAGAAACUAAA